UGGGGAAUAUUGCGGACAAUGGGGGAAACCCUGACGCAGCAACGCCGCGUGGGUGAAGAAGGCCUUCGGGUUGUAAAGCACUUUCACUCGGCGAAGAUGAUGACGGUACCCAGAGAAGAAGCGCCGGCUAACUCCGUGCCAGCAGCCGCGGUAAUACGGAGGGGGCAAGCGUUGUUCGGAAUCAUUGGGCGUAAAGGGCGUGUAGGCGGCUUGGUAAGUCGGAUGUGAAAUCCCGGGGCUCAACCCCGGAACUGCAUUCGAUACUGCCUGGCUAGAGUCCCGGAGAGGAGGGCGGAAUUCCCGGUGUAGAGGUGAAAUUCGUAGAUAUCGGGAGGAACACCAGUGGCGAAGGCGGCCCUCUGGACCGAGACUGACGCUGAGAUGCGAAAGCGUGGGGAGCAAGCAGGAUUAGAUACCCUGGUAGUCCACGCUGUAAACGUUGGGUGCUAGGUGUCACGGAAAUUGACCCCUGCGGUGCCAACUCUAACGCAUUUAUCACCCCGCCUGGGGAGUACGGUCGCAGGGCUA
rnacentral:rRNA from 1 species